UACGUACCGUCCAAACGUUAUUCGGAAUCACUGGGCUUAAAGAGUUCGUAGGCGGUCCAGAAAGUUGGGUGUGAAAUCCCUCGGCUCAACCGAGGAACAGCGCUCAAAACUACUGGGCUAGAGGGAGAUAGAGGUGAGCGGAACUGAUGGUGGAGCGGUGAAAUGCGUUGAUAUCAUCAGGAACACCGGAGGCGAAGGCGGCUCACUGGGUCUCUCCUGACGCUGAGGAACGAAAGCUAGGGUAGCGAACGGG
rnacentral:rRNA from 1 species